AACGAACGCUGGCGGCGUGGAUAAGACAUGCAAGUCGAACGAUUAUCACCGGGUAGCAAUAUUCGGUGGUGAGAGUGGCGCAAGGGUGCGUAACACGUGGGUAAUUUGCCGUGAAGUCUGGAAUAACUUGCUGAAAGGCGAGCUAAUACCGGAUGUGAUUUUUGGAAGGCAUCUUCUGAAACUCAAAGUCGGGGACCGCAAGGCCUGACGCUUCUCGAUAAGCCCGCGGCCAUCAGCUAGUUGGUGAGGUAACGGCUCACCAAGGCUAAGACGGGUAGCUGGUCUGAGAGGACGACCAGCCUCACUGGAACUGAGACACGGUCCAGACACCUACGGGUGGCAGCAGUCGAGAAUUUUUCUCAAUGGGGAAACCCUGAAGGAGCGACGCCGCGUGGGGGAUGAAUGGCUUCGGCCCCGUAAACCCCUGUCAUUUGCGAUCAAACCUUACGACCUAACACGUCGUAAGCUGAUAGUAG
rnacentral:rRNA from 1 species